GAUGACUUUCUAUAGCAGAAUAAAAAACAAAGCCAUGGUCUACAACAACACAAGAAAAAACAGCUAGAAAUUGUGUAAUUUCCCUUGAAAAUGCAGAGUUUCUCCCUAAUACUGAAAUUAAUAUGUACUUUAAUUUUUUUAAAGACUAUACACACACAUACACACACAUAAGAAUCAUGACUUAUGGCUACACGAAAGUGUGUACAAUAUACCAUUACAAGCAGCAUGCAAUAGUUAGAAUAAUUGGUGGCUCCAUUUCUGGAUUUUUACUGUAUUGAAAUAUCAGUUGAAUUAACUAAAGACAUUUUGAUAGUUCCCUAUAAAGUCUAAAAUCAUAAUUGGAAUUUAUACAGAAUUCUGAAUGCCAACAGAAAAACAGAUGCACAUAGUUUUAAGUAGAUCUUAAAACAAGAAUGGAUGCAAUGCAACUCUUCAUACUUUGAGUAUCACACUUGGUCAUAAGUGAAAAUUAUACAGCACAUUUUGGGAAACUGAUUAUUUGUAUUAUUCUCAUACAGUACUUGAAAUGUUAAGUUAUAAAAGCGUAACAGUAUUUUUUUUAUAAAUGCAUUUUGGACUUUUAUAAAUGCAUGACUUUCUUCUUUGUGACAAGUGGUAAAUUCCUGAUUCAUAUAAGUUGUAUAACCAGUCACUUUCCCCUGAUUUUUUUCAUGGCUCUUUAUCCUUUUCUGGUGACUGUUACAUAGCGGACUCUUUCAAAAGAGGUGUUCAUCCUCCCAUGCACAUGUUGUAUAAAUGUGCUGUGCUGAGGUCUUGAGCACUUUACAAGGUCAUCACAGGAAAGAUAUAGCAAACAUUUUUUAGAUGGACAAGACUUUCCUAAAUAACAAUACAUGUUUUUGUUCUCUGAAAUUGAGUUUAAAAUAAUAACUUUGAGUUAGGGAUCUCCUGUUGUGGCUCAGCUGAAAUGAAUCUGAGUAGUAUCCAUGAGGAUGCAGGUUAAAUGCCCGGCCUCACUCAGUGGGUUAAGGAUCUGGCAUUGCCAUGAGCUGUGGUAUAGGUUGCAGACAGAGCUCGACACUGUGCUGCUGUGGUUGUGGCAUAGGCUGGUAGCAAUGGUUCUGAUUAGACCCCUAGCCUGGGAACUUCCAUAUGCUGUGGGUGUGGCCUUAAAAAGAGAAAAAAAUAUCUGAGUUACUUCACAUUAAGAUGUAAUUUUAAACUUAUCUCAAAUGUUAUGAUUACAAUCUAUAAAUAUCAGCCUUAACCACAGGAAAGAAAACAAACAGUAAAAUGUAGGCCUAUUAAUGUUUCUAAAAAAUGUAUGGACCUUGUUAAGAAUUUAAAGUUCUGAUAAAUUUAAAGUUUAUUUUUAACAACAUAGCCAGGUAAUCAUUCAUUUUAUAUUCAUGUACACAAUAUUAAUUGUGCAUUCACUCUGGGUAAAGGAUGGCUGGCAAGCAGGAGCAAUGAAUGGAGAAAAACAAAUGACAAAACUUAAACUAAGUUUUAGGAUUAUUAAAUAACUUAGGGUUGAUAAAAAAGACUUAUGCAGUGAACCAGAUAGAAUGUUAAGGAUGUUUAACAUGGGGACUGACUAUGGCAAGAAAUGAUUUUUAUCUAAUAUUUAUUGAAUAAGUACUAUGUACUUGGAAUUAUCUAAAGUUUGUGAUUAAAUACAAAAACAUUGUCAAUAAGCAACUUCUUUACACAAAUUAAGACACAAAUUUGUCCACGGUCACAGACACAGUAAAUGGCAGAGUUGAAAAUAAAACUAAGUUAUGUCUAAUUAUACAUCUAAUCCAUUUUAAUAUUAAGAUUUAACAAAGGAUGUAUUCAGGAGUACUUUUCAGUCUAUUCAUACAAUCUGUUUCUCCAUAUAAAACACAUUUUCCUUUUCAGGGACUAAAUCUGUAAACUUAGCCUUCUUUUUUUUCCCCCAGUAUGCAUCAUUCUGUUCUUAAAACAUCUAAUUUAUUUCCACUUAUCAUAGGGACUGUCACAAAUUUUCUAAACCAAAUUAAUUUUAAUUAAUUUCACAAUUAAAAAGAAGGUGACAUAUAGUACUUUCAGAAAAUUGGCCCAAGUAUCAUGAAAUGACAGCACUAAUGAAAGGUGAGGAGCCAACCAAUAGAUGCCUCAGUCAGAAGGAAUAGCCUGAGCAAAGACUACAAAGAAAAAGAGGGAGAAUGACAAAUCUAUGAAACUGAAAGCAAUGUUAACCAAAUUGCUUUGGAAUUGAAAGAUGGAACAUAAAGCCAAAUAGAUAAACAAGAAUAAAUCAUGACAAUGCUUGAACAAUUUGAUAGAAAAAUAACCUGAAUAUAAUGAAGGAAUUAUGGGGCCAUUUUGAGGAAAAGAGCACUAAGUAUGUGUUAGGCACCGUAGAGAGAAAAGGGGAGCUUAACUCCUGUCCUUAAAGUUUUAAAAUGAUGUGAGAAUAGAUAAAAAAUAGUAGAGGAUACAAGUGUUAACUGUGGCAUAGACACUACAUGUGUGGUGUUAUAAUAUGGACAAUUUUAAGUCUUAGCAACUACCACAGUUUUGAAACAUAUCCUCCUGGGAUUAAGAAGAAAAAAAUAUCCUGGAAGAAAUAGGCCUUGAUGGCCUGGCUGAUUUGCUAAAUGUUCAAUAUCAGCAGCAUUUCGUUGAACACAUGGGACCAAAAUAACUGAACUUAAACUGGUGUUGGUACAGAGUAUCAAUCAGUAUGGGCUGCAGGUCCACAAGUCUUUUCAGAGAUCGAGCCUAAACCGGGAAAAGAAAACUAUAUGUAUGUAUGUAUGCAUAUAUCUAUAGAUACAUAGAUAGGCAUAUAGAGAAAAAUGUCUGAAUAACUCUGGAACUCCACAAAUCUCCUAUUUAACAUUUAAUAUUACUUAGAAGUGUAAUUAUACUUGAAAAAUUUUUGUAAGGCUGUAUUAGGUUAUACAAAUGUGCUUAAUUAAAUGUAUCAGAUCAAUUGGAAAUAAGCUUCAUAAUGAAAACAGAGACAGAUUUAUUCAGAAAGAUGUCUUUAUGCAAAAAUAUUUGUCUUGCUGAAGAACAAAGUGAUUAUAGAAAGCUAUGUGUAGCAAUGAAAGAGUUAAUGUAAUUAAAAUAAAGCAAUAUUUAAUGCCUCCAGGAUUAUUUCAAGAUUCUAAAGAAUCAUAAAUAUUAAAGAUUGUGUAUCUAGACAGAUUUUAUCAAAUCCUAACGUGGUUAAGGCAGAAGGAAAGGCAUCUCACACUAGACUUUUUUUUUAAUCCAUACCUGCCAUACUUUGAUUACAUCAAAAUACUGACAUUUCCACUUACUAUUGGGAAUCCAGUGAACAUAUGUUAUAUUAAUGGGAACUUUUGAUUAACAAAUUAUGUUUUGGGUUUUUGUUCUCCUGUUAAAAGCUAAUUUUCAAAAUCAUAAUACGUGAAGAACUAUUUCAGGCAUUAAUACAGUUGCUACCUGACAAGUAUACAUUUUAAAAAAUUAAUAAAUAAAACAUUUGUUUCACAUUUUCUUCUUCAAGUAAACAUUCAGAAAGAUUAUCUCAGCUGAAGUAUUCCUAUCAUUUGACUUUUAGUAUGGGAGGUAUUCAAUAACAAAGUACUAACUGAUUACAUCAAUUUUAUGUAAGAAGCACACCAACUUUCUUUGAUACAUGUCUUGACCAUAAUUUAAAGGCCAACUUAAGUACUCCAACCUGAAUUGCACCUUAUUAAAAUAUUUCAACUUAAUCAAUUGCUUAUUAUUCUGAACUAUUAGAAUAAUGCCUAGUUCCACAAAAUUAAGCCCUGAAAUAUAUUCCAUAAACUGCAUUUUAUUAUGGCCAACUCCCUUAAAACAAAGAGUAUGCAACAGAGUUAAACACAUGGAAAAUCCUGGAAAGUGCUUGUUGCAAGAAAAAUUAAACAUGUUAUCUUAUCCAAUGUACUGUGAAAGUUCUGUGGUCUAAACUUGAAGAUAAUAUUCACUAAUAUCUACAUCUAUUCCACUGAAUGAAUGAAUGUGUGAGACUGAUGAAUCUUACUUGAGGGAUAUGGAGGAGAGAAACUCACUAAAUCUCCUCAAAGUUUUGAUGCCUUGGUAACUGUGAAGUAGAAAAAGAGAAGUCAUGAUGAAGAUAUGACUUGGGGGAAAGAUGUUACAUUCCGCAUUUUUUAUGGUUAGUUUAUACCCUUUCAUGUAUUGUAAAUAGAAGUUUCCAAUAAACCAUUUUAAAUUUAAUUGCCCAUUUUUUCAUCAUCAAAUAGUAAAAGCUAUCAUUUUAUAAAUUCUUAGACUAUUUCAGGCAGUAUACCAAAUUGUUUAUAAAACAUUUCAUAUUUAAUUAAAAAUGCCAUACAAUAAGUAUCAUUACACAAUUGUAAAGGUUAAAAGAUAAUGUCACUAACUGUCUAACUACAUAUAGCUGAGUGGGAGACUCAUUAUUUCAGUCCACAUAAAUCCAAUUACAAAACCUAUGAUCUCAAUAAUCUUACUCUAUGAUGCUGCCUAAUUUAUUAAGUGAUUAUACUCUGCAGACAUUACAUAAUGAGCUACAAAUGCGAAGACAAAUAAAAUAUGGUCUCUGACAUUGGCUAAGAGUAAAGGAACCAGGGAGAUUAUAUUUAAUAAGAGAUAUGCAUUUCAGGACAUACACUAGUUCCAGAGUAAUUGGUAUAUUCAUAUGGGACACAAGUAAGAUAAGAAAGGCAAGAACUGAGGAUAUAGUGCAUACUUGGGAAAAAAGCGGGUAUUGAUGAUAUAAAGUGAUUACUUCUGAAGAAAAAUACCAUGCAGUUACUAAUGAAAGAAACUGGGCAAAGGACAGGAAACUUGGGAUAGGUAGGCCAGUAGUCCAAGUAAAGGAAAGGAAUUAGUAUUCAUUGAAAAGUUACCAAUCAUUUCAUAUAAAUAACUUUUCUCAUUCAAUGAUUAAAACCACAGUAAGAGUUAAGUGUUAUCACUGACAUUUUGCUUAUGGAAAAGAUGUGGUUUGAAGAGUCUGAGUGAAUUGGACAAGACAUACAAUUACCUGGUGGUGGAAAUAACACUGCUACAUCUCUGGUUUAAUACAAGUCACACAUUCUCUCUCCAAUGGAGUCCCUAUGAACCCUGGAAGCAUCUUUUAUUGCCAAGGUAUCCAAAC
rnacentral:lncRNA from 1 species